rnacentral:rRNA from 1 species
GAUGAACGCUGGCGGCGUGCCUAAUACAUGCAAGUCGAGCGAACAGAUGAGGAGCUUGCUCCUCUGACGUUAGCGGCGGACGGGUGAGUAACACGUGGAUAACCUACCUAUAAGACUGGGAUAACUUCUGGAAACCGGAGCUAAUACCGGAUAAUAUAUUGAACCACAUGGUUCAAUAGUGAAAGACGGUUUUGCUGUCACUUAUAGAUGGAUCCGCGCCGCAUUAGCUAGUUUGUAAGUUAACGGCUUACCAAGGCAACGAUGCGUAGCCGACCUGCGAGUGUGAUCGCCGCCUCUGCGGCUGCUGCAUGACACAGACCCCUACGGAAAGCGGCAGUGUUGUAUUUUGCGAGUUUGGCGGAUACCUGACGGAACAGCGCUGCGUUAGAGAGGAUGGUCAUCGAUUCGUAAGACUCUGUUGUUAGGGAAGAACAAAUUUGUAAGUAACAUAGUGCGUCUUAACGGUACCUAAUCAGAAAGGCCCGUCUGGCUACGUG